rnacentral:sRNA from 1 species
CUAAUAAUUCCUUGGUGGCCGAAUGGGUAAUGCGGCCACCUGGUAGCGCCUUGGCGUGGGGACCCAAGGCGCGUGGGUUCGAAACCCGCAGGGGACAACAUUACAUCCGGAGCCAACUUCUCAGCUCCUAAAAUAAUGGGAUGUGAACCUGCCAAGUAGGUACCUUCGGGCGGACCUACUACUUGAUUUAGCUGAUUUUUCCUGGGCUGGGAACCUGUAUUGCAUGUACCAAAUCCUGUCUUUCAUUAAUUUUCCUAUGUUCCUGUUAUAUUCUUGGCGUCGUUCAACACUAAGCAUUCCUCCUGUAUAACCAACUCUUGCCUGUAUUUAACAUCACACA